rnacentral:lncRNA from 1 species
GUAACUGUGAUAUUCUUGGGUUUAUAGCAGUAUAUUGGUGUUGUGUUAGUGAAAGCUGAGCCGGCAAAUGGAGGAUAGGAAGAAAAAGAUCGUAAAUUUGGCGUUGAAGAAAGUAAGAGCAGAGGAGACGUUUGUGUUUCUAAAGGAAUGUAAGAUUAACAAUGUCUUACCGACAUCUCUUUAUAAGAUGAAGUUACCAAUUAAGUCUAAAAAGCUUAUGUGGAAGAUAAGGCAGAUUUGCUUAAAUGCGGCUUAUACAGAUGCAAAGAGGACUUUCUAUAAGAGAAAAAUAUCCCUGCAGAAAACGAGAAUGAAAUGUGAGCAGGAGCAAGAAUGGGACUUAGAUUGAUGGAUGCACGAAUGGAGUCAUUGAAAACUAAAUUAAGGAGAAAACACAUUGGAAAAUUUAAAUGAAUUUUGAACAUGCAGCUGCCCAGACGAAAGAAAGAUGGUUUUAAGCUAAAUGAAGUUUUAACGGUGAUUGGUGAUAUAAGCAUACUGGAUUAUGCUAAGAAUGUCUUUGAAAAAGGCCCUUCGUAUGCUCUGCCGAAAUGUUUGAGCUUUAAGGAGGAUAUCCCGGUAAUAGAAAACCUUAUAAGUGAUUUUAAUGAACUGGAAAAGGAGAGCAUCCGCUGGAAAUAUGUAAGAAAAAGAACAGGAUCUCGGG